rnacentral:snoRNA from 1 species
AUCCUUUUCCGUUUCAUAAGCAUGAUGGUGGGCAUUCACUCAUUUGUGUGAUAUAUGUCUCCCUUAAAUCUUGUUAUGCACUUGGCACAUUACUCAUCUAAUA